ACUUUCACCCAAUUAAUACCACCAAUUUGGGUCUCAUUAAUUACAUAUGCAUGGCCUCAAUCAAUUACCCAUCUUGAAAAGAAACAACUUGACGUACAGUGCACCCAAAAUUCUCAAUUCAUGUGAUAAGAUCAACCAUACUCUAUUAUGUGUUAUUCUGAAUAAUUGAUUGUGAAUAAAGUUUUGGUUCCACCAAUAUAAAAUAAUGAAAAUAAACCAUAAAAACAUAUAAAAAAAAUUGUAUCCCAAAUCUUGAAUCACAGAUCCACAUAAUAAUAAAAUUAAAACAAAAGCUAAAAAUAAAAUCUUUGGUCACGUUACGCUGGAUUUGAUUUAUUAUCCCAAAUAUCUUGGCACUACGACUGCACCACACCGC
rnacentral:lncRNA from 1 species